rnacentral:lncRNA from 1 species
UGAUCAGGUAUUGGAGUCACCUAGACUGGUGAGGUGUAGGAAAGGAGGAGGAGGUGGCCAGUCACAGGUGGGUUUCUGCAGAACAAAGAGAGACUGACAGAAAAAUGGUAAGCUACCCACAAAACCUGAUCUGUUUUCAUAUACUGUAUAUGGAGUAAACUCAAAAUAAAGA